GGCCGGUUAGCUCAGUCAGUUGAGCACAGUGCUAAUAAUGCUAAGGUCAUGGGUCCGAUUCCCGUUCGGUCC
rnacentral:tRNA from 1 species